rnacentral:rRNA from 1 species
CCUACGGGAGGCAGCAGUGAGGAAUAUUGGUCAAUGGGCGGGAGCCUGAACCAGCCAAGCCGCGUGAGGGAAGACGGUACAGCGUAUUGUAAACCUCUUUUGUCAGGGAACAAAGGCGGGGACUAGUCCCCGGUUGAGGGAACCUGAAGAAAAAGCAUCGGCUAACUCCGUGCCAGCACCCGCGGUAAUACGGAGGAUGCAGGCGUUAUCCGGAUUUAUUGGGUUUAAAGGGUGCGCAGGCGGACUGUUAAGUCAGCGGUAAAAGCUUGGGGCUCAACCCCACCGAGCCGUUGAAACUGGGGGUCUAGAGUUGGCGAGAGGUACGCGGAAUGCGCGGUGUAGCGGUGAAAUGCUUAGAUAGCACGCAGAACCCCGAUUGCGAAGGCAGCAUACCGGCGCCACACUGACGCUGAGGCACGAAAGCGUGGGUAUCGAACAGGAUUAGAUACCCCUGUAGUC